GAUGAACGCUGGCGGCGUGCCUAAUACAUGCAAGUCGAGCGAACGGACGAGGCGCUUGCUGCCCUGAUGUUAGCGGCGGCCGGGUGAGUAACCCGUGGAUAACCUACAUAUAAGACUGGGAUAAGUUAAGGACACCGGAGCUAAUACGGGCUAAUAUUUUGAACCGCAUGGUUCCAAAGUGCAAGACGGUAUUUAUUUCACGUAUAGAUGGAUCCCCGCUGCAGUAGCUAGUUGGUGAGGUAACGGCUUAACAAGGCAACGAUGGAUAGCCGACCUGAGCGGUGCAUCGGGCAGACGGGAAGUGAGACAGGGUCGACACUCUGACGGGAGGCAGCAGUAGGGAAUCCUCCGCAAUGGGGGAGAGGCUGACGGUGGAACGUCGGGGGAGGGAUGAAGGAGCUCGGACCGGAAAAUUCUGUUAGUCUGGAAGAACAUAUGUGUAAGUAGCUGGGCAGAUGUUGACGGUACCUAAACAGAAAGCCACGGCUAACUACGUG
rnacentral:rRNA from 1 species